AUCCAGCUGACGAGUCCCAAAUAGGAAGAAACACGAGUCCUGGAU
rnacentral:hammerhead_ribozyme from 1 species